AUACCUUUCUCGGCCUUUUGAUUAACAUCAAGUGUAGUAUCUGUUUUUAUCAGUUUAAUAUCUGAUAUGGGGGUCAUGUGCCCACAAUGAUAUUAAAUUUAUUUUUUGUGGGGAUGAUCCAUCACAAUAGCUUGCCAUUGGGGCCCUUGUGUGUUGCCCAAGUGUUUCGCUUCAUACCAUGUGUGCUUCGUACAAAUC